rnacentral:rRNA from 1 species
UACGUAGGGUGCGAGCGUUGUCCGGAAUUAUUGGGCGUAAAGAGCUCGUAGGCGGUCUGUCGCGUCGGUCGUGAAAACUUGGGGCUUAACCCUGAGCUUGCGGUCGAUACGGGCAUGACUGGAGUUCGGCAGGGGAGACUGGAAUUCCUGGUGUAGCGGUGAAAUGCGCAGAUAUCAGGAGGAACACCGGUGGCGAAGGCGGUGGUCUGGGCCGGUACUGACGCUGAGGAGCGAAAGCGUGGGGAGCGAACAGGA